ensembl:lncRNA novel transcript
GAGAGGCGGCCAAGAUGGCGGUGCUGGUCGACCACGCCUCCUCCGGGAGCGGAGGCGGGUGGCUGUUCUCGGAUGUGCCUGCUUCCCCUUUGUCUGCUGUGACUAUAGGUUUCCUGAGGCCUCCCCAGCCAUGCAUCCUGUACAGCCUGUGGAACUAGUCCAACAGAAAAUUUUAAGUACCUGUUUAAAGCAAUUUACAAGAUACUGUGGAGAUUCCCAGCAAUAAAGAAUGUACUAUAGUUAAGCUGGAAUCCAACUCCUGAAUUUCUGGAGCCCUGAAGACCACUUAGUCUUACUCACAAGAAUUGAAUGGAAUGUGAAUCUACACUCAGGUGAAGCCAGGGUAUUUUGAACGUCCCUACAAGACUGAAGCACCACUGGGAAAUAAGUAAUAGAGAUGCCAUCAUUGUGGAGGUCAUAAUGCUUGUCCUGAACACGAGGGGUCUCUAGUGAGGCACCAAUUCAGCUCCUCUUCUGUGGAGAGACUACAUGGGUGCUGAAGAAACAAAGACACAACGCAGCUCCUCUCAAAGGAGUUCAGAGCUUAGCAGGGGAGACAGAACCAUGAAUGCAUAGUUACGCAUCAAUGUGCUGCACGAGCACUGAAGCCCAAGCACAAGCGGCCUGAGUCCCAAAAACAUUUGCUGACUGCUGUUCUAUCUAGGAUAUCAUCAGUGUGUAGAUGAUCAGAGUUCAUGUCAGUGUUCCUACAAGCCAAUGAAGGUAGGAUUCAACAAAAAACAGAGAUCUGUGUUCUGAAUGGAAAAAUUCCUACUGAUGCCACCCACUAGUCUGGAACAAGUCAGUCUCAAACAUAACAACAGACACUGGGGAGCUCUCCAACAAAAGAUCACCUCCCAAAGAACAGGAUGGUGUCGAAGACUGAAUGCCAGCCUGAGGAAACAGAAAUACUACAGAAGCACGCCAGAGCCUGCAGUGUCUCCUCGCUGCCUCUCAAUGAACUGCUAAAAGACCAAGAACUCUGCUGAGAGAUAAGAAGAGGGGAGGGUGUGCUGCAGGUGGUGCUGGGAGGCCCAGACCUUCUCCUGACAUCUGGGGCUGGCUACAGGAAACAGAAACAUCACCCAGGCCUUGGCGCGAGACAGGACAGAGGCAGAUUGUGACUCAGAUCUGCAGGUGGAAAGUGGGCCUUUCGUUUUCUCCUAGGGGUAGAGCAAAGCCAGAGGGCUCAGUCAGAGGAAACCUAAGGCAGUUCAUGAUCCCUUCAACUUUAUACCAUUUCCUCAAAACUGCCUCCAAACAGUGGGCAACUGGAAAGGUGGUCUGACCUCCAGUGAUCACACAGUAUGCAUUAUAACAGAAGGCUGUCACUGUCAAUUGCAUGGCUCCCUCACUAUGCAUUCCUUCUAUCAAUUUACGACAACACACUGUAGUGAGUACCUGCACAUUGCUGGGUAUUUUGGCAGACAUUGAUAGUAGAUGAAUAACACCUGGUACUUGACCUUGAGACGCUCACUGCCUAGUGUGGGGAACCAAUGGUUGCAAUAUAAAGUAUUAACUAGAGGGAUAGAGGACUGCCUGAGGAUCUCUGCACUCAGAGGAAGGGCCAUGAGAUCAGCCAGGACAGUAGGGAGGCAGUGACUCAUGAAAUUAGCAAGUGGUGAGAAGAGGGCAGUAGAUUCAGCGGCUGCUAAAAAAGGUUACUGAACUUUUUGUUUCAUCAAUGCCAAGAAAUUAAUCUGUUUUAGCCUCUUUCAU